ensembl:lncRNA
UAAACAUAUUUUUGGGGAAAUGUUUUGUGCUUUCUUCAAAAUAAAUGGCACUUGUUUUAACAUGUUGUUUUCAAACGCGGUGAAAUUCAUCCAUUUGUUCAUCUGACUAACUUCAUUUUCCAAAUACUGAUUAGUGUUCAUGUAGAACUGAGGAAACCAGCCCUAUACAAGCACAGCACUUCUUCUCUUUACAGGUUUUAGAUACAGAGACAGCAGAACAGCAUGGCCACUGCGAAUGAAAAAGACACAGUGUGGAUCGGGUUCAUGGAUAUCGUUCCGGUCAUCGGGAAGGUUAAAGAGGCAGUGGAGCUGGUGCUGGCUCUGUACGAAGGGAAUAAAGCGGUGAUAAAGGAGAAAGAGAAGGCCGUUGAAAACAUUGUGAAAGUGAGUCAUAUUUAAAUAUCAUAUAUUCAAAGAUUGACAGACAGUGCAGUAAAUUCUCCUAAUAUUAAAAAAAAGUCAGCCAUUAAAAACUUUGAUGUGAACUAAGCGUCAAAAACACAUAAAAAUCCUAAUACACCUUUGCUAUUAUCAGAGUUCAGUUGGAUAUAUUUAAAAAAAAAAAAAUAAUAAUAAUUUAUGAUUUUGUGUUGUUCUCCUGCAUGAACCAUCAUGUAUGACUCCUGUACUCUCUACUCUUUGUUUGUUUCCAGUUUUGAUUUUAAGGAUGUAAUCAUCUCUUAUGAGGCUCAGAGUUCCCGAAGUGAAUUAUUUUCAUACAGCAGCAUGGUCUAUCAUGUGUUAUUCUUUGCAUACAAUAUGGUAUAAUUAUUGCAUGUCACAGUGCACCAUCAUGCCAGUCUAUGUCCAGUCUAUGUCCAGUCCAUUUAAUUUUUUUAUCUUUCCAUAACUAGAAGAUGACUAAAUCAGCAGCAUUUCCAGCUGAUAAAUCAGCAGCAUUUCCAGCUGAUAAAACAGCAGCAGCUGCAGCUGAAUUUUCUGGACUCGGAAAUGUGAGAGAGGUCAGAAUGGAAAUGGUUAUUGUACAUCUGGCCCAAGCUUUCACAAGGGGAAAAAAAGUUCAAACUUCAGCUGAGCAGAAAAGUGAGCAGAAAGACAGACAGAAAAAAAUGGAGUACAUUAAGAAAGACAUGUUAGAAAAGAUCCAUAUGAUCGAUCCAAACUUCAAUGAGGAGCUGAAGGAAGAACUGAGAAGGUCACAAAGAGGCGAACAUGUCUUCAACAAUAACAUUCUUAAAUUUCAUUGCAAAGUGCUAGAUGAUUUUAUACAAGAACAAAAUAUUGAUAAUCUACAAAGAUAUAAUCCGCAGGAAAUGGAUACAUUACGCAGACAGACACUUACCCAAAAUGCAGAAGAAGAAAUUCAGACAAACAUGGUGGUUCACUUUGGUGAGGAUGAAUUCUAUGUGAAUGCAAAUGCAGUGAUAUAUGGUGUAUAUUGCAGAGCACUGCGUGGUGCUUUGUUAAAUGUGCUGCGCCACAUAAACCCAGGUGAGGUGGCAGAAGAGAAGAGACAUUGGGUGAAUUUUGUCAUAAAUACUAUGAAUAACUAUGAAAUCUAUGUGGACCAAAUGGCAAAGGUCCGUUGGAUUGCCAAUAUAGAGACUAGACGGGCCCGGUUUGAACGGGUAAAACAGGAAGUUGUGACCAUGUAUAACACAGAUCGUGGGUAUGACUGGUGCAUUAGCAUUCUGCAUGAAGUUGCAGGUUUGUUUGAACAUAGACAGUGAGUUCAUUUCUCCUGUUCAGGGUUGCCAGGUUUCCUUUCAAAAUUUCCAUCUUAACUACAUCCUAAAUCCCACAGACCUGAAACUAGCUGAAAGUUUGGACACUGGAAGAAACAAAGUUCACUGUGGUGCACACAUAUUUGUAUGUUUGCAAUGUUUCCAACACACUUAGGGUCAGAGUUUUGUCACCCAUAGCCUGUUACAACUGUUAUUUUUUAUUUUAUUUAUUUCAUUUAUUUGUACAGGGACAACGUACAACAACAGUGUCAUGCCAGAGUUAGCUAUAAAGCUAAUUUGUAUCUGCAAUCCCUGGGCAGGAUGUUCUUACAAAAUUACAAUAUUAAGUGACAAACAAUACAAUAAAUAUUACACAUACAACAUCACAUCAUACUACAUUAAAUUACAAAUCCAAGUCAAUGAUCACAUAUCUGAUUUUCCUUAAGCCAUACUUUAAGCAUAGUUGUAAAAAUACUAAGUGUUGCACACUCUCUAAUAUAAACAGGUCUUAAAUUCCAUCUUUCUGCUGCUCUAACCGAAAAAGCUGAUUGUCCAAAAAUAGUUUCUUAAAUUUAGUUGAACAGUCACCUCUAACUGAUGACCUAGUCUGCCUGAUAUUGUCCUUUCAGAAAGUCACACAUUGUUUAAGAGGUGGUGGUGCAAGAUUAUGAAAUACUUUGUACAUUAAACAGACAUCAGCAAAUAAAAAAAAAAUGUUAAAACGUCAAUCAUUUAUAAUAUAGUGAUGAUAACUUCUUGGCUUUUUAGCUAAGAUUUUCACAGCUUGUUUAUAAAUAGUAUAUAAUGGUUUUAACGUAGUUAAAAUGCAUCCACAUCUGUGUGUUUGUGGUCUGCGAGGAAAAUCGGUUGUUUCAAUAAAUUCAAUUGUAAUAGCCUUCUCUAUUAAAUCUGAACCAGUACAGAACCGGAGGAAAAGUUGAAGGGUGUUCAGAUCAAUUUCAGCAAUGUACCUUUUCAGAUAGUGUGCAACUGUUGUCUGGGGUGCUGUCAUAUCAUUUGGGAAGUGUAACAGCUCCUUCACUGCUUUUGCAGUUGUUUUUUUCUGUUUAACUGUACAAUUCAAACCAUCUAGUGGUAGCAUACUAGCUACAUGCACCAUAAUGGGACGCCAGCACUCAAUCACAUACAUUGGGGCCUGUAUUAUGGCUUUGUGCCCCAUUUGUGCUAGCAGAGGAACCAAACAGUCCUUGGUAGGCACCUGUUUGCACUCAUGUGCAUCAAGAACAUCAAACAGUUCAUCAGAGUCAACAGAGUCAAAGUCUUUCAAAACACUCAUAAUAACAGCUCUUUCUUGUUCAGACAUGUACAGCAAAAGGGAAUCUUUUAAGCUAAUGGUUGUUGUGCCAUAAAGUACUUCUUCCAGGAAUGGUGUUGCCAGUUUCACUGGUAAGUAUUUAUCUUGCUUCCAUCCUAAAACAAACCCUCUAGCUACUGCUUGCCACUCCUCACAUUGAUAAUCAUGUCUGAUGAAAGGCACUUUCACAUCCACCCCCAGAAUGCAGUGGUCAUAAAAAUCAGACCAAAAUUCUGUAAGGCUAUCUCGAAAUACACCAAUUCCUUCCCCCAUUUCAAGUUCUCCAUUUGGUAAAUGCAUCUUGAUGUUAACCUCUGUACUAAUAACUUCUGGAUUCUUAAAAGCACAGAUUAGGUCAGCGAGACAGUGCCCUCUCCUAACAAUCAGUAUUACAACAGCAGGUUGUGGUUCAUGACUUCUUUGAGGUAGAACAUCAGUGGCCCCCAAAGUGAUUUCAGCAGGCAAUGUUUCAUCCAUAAAUGGAGAAGGCAGGUCAUCUUCUCUAGCUGCAUUUUGGGUUUCAGGAUGUGGUUCAUUCAGAUGUGGAUCUUCAAUAACACCCUCACUCAGAAAAAUCACUGUUUCAGGGUCAAGAAUUUCUUCAGUUAUUUGUUGUGGGGAAUCAUCCCAUGUGUCAUUAAUUUCCCUGUCUUCACUAAUGGAAGCUCUAGUUGAGUGAGGGUCAGUAACCAAGUCAGAUUCCCUGGUUCCUUGAUUUUCACCAGUGAGAUCUAUAACGUUACUGAUGUCUUCUAAAGACUGCCUAUCUGAUUUUAUUUUGGCACACAGAUAGAGUUUUAGCAUUCGGACUUUGCUUUCACUAUACAGUUGAUCUACAGUUUUGGAUAUUUCAGUGUGCAUCUGAAAGCACUCAAUAUCAGUUGUAUAGAGUGACAUUUUUUUUUUUUUUUUUCCUUUGAAUAACCAUAUGGGAAAUUUUUUUUUUAAAAAUUCGGCCUCAGGUUUCAAAUCGUUCACUGUUUUGUUUAUGUCAGCACAGAGAUGUCUUGUUCCUCCACCAUUUAUUUAUCUCACUUGUUUGAACCGCUGCUCUUUCUCAUCAAAAUCCAUCCUUUCUAGCUCAAUGCAUCAUUCUUUCUUUCUUUUCGGCACUUAUGUUUUCUACCCAUGAAAAACUUUCCUUUGCAGGUACACUCUCAUUCCUAGAAGACAGUCUAUGUCGUAGUCUCAACAGUAUGGAUUCUUUCCUGGACUGUGCCUGAUGUGGUGCACUGGCUUGUCUACAGAAGGCCACAGUAGAGAUUCUGUCUCCAGCUUUGGGGAUGUACUUUGCCCGGUCACUGUCUGUCAUCAUAGGGAUGACAUUUUCAUCAAUCUAAAAAUAUUAUAUAUAUGUAUACACAUUAGUUACAAAACCAAAUGAUGUUCCUUAGUGUGGCCAGAUGGCAGAGGGAAGGUAUGACUUAAGUGAACUUAAAUGAAUUAAGGACCCAAAGGGUUAACAAUGCCUGACUACACCACCCUGGGAAUCUCACCCAAGGAAUUUAUUAAAGAUACUAUACACAGGUCCCCCACUCUGUGGCAAAAUAGACAAUGGAGACAGAGGUACUGGUAUAAAAAUAGAACAAUUUAUUUUGAAUUUAAUGACAACAGAAAUUGAAAACGCAUUCACUGAAAAGAAACUGGGACCACAAUUACACAAAUGGUCCAGGAAAGACAACAAUGAGGAGCUGCAGCCUGGGCUACAUGACCGGCCGUACAGGCCUUUACUCUAAGUACACUGCACACUCACACCAAUCCAAAAGCCCCAGUGCACACGGCAAAUCACAGCACUCCGUGAGGAAACACCAUCACCACCUAAAGAAAGACUUCAGCCCUGCUCUCCACACACACACACUCAAACACAAACAAAAAUAAUUAACACAAGAUUUAGGCAGGCAACACAGCUGACACUUAAUGCCUGCCAAACACACAAUAACAGAGUUAACCAAAUUAAAUCAAAACACAACUGGACCAUAUAAAUGCAAAAAAGCACUCCCACAUCACUCAACGGAUUCACAACCGCAUUAAAAUGGAAUUCAUGAAUGUUCAACCAGGAACAAGACAGCGGUGACGUCACUGCAUGCCCCAGAUAACAGGCACAGGGACCCGGGAGUCAGUAGAAGUGAAGAUAAUACUCCAUAGAUGCAAUGCGAAGUAUAGUUUCGAUUUAAUCACUCAGCCGAUGGAGCUCAGGAUACGCGAGGAAAAUAACUCAGCAUAUACAGUCGUCAUCCGCCCAUACACAGCAUUAUAUUGACUGAAUGUGGUCGCAUAUACAGAUGCGAGACACACGCCGCCACCAACAAUAAGUCAAAGCCACAAUAUCUGCAGCCACGGAGAUGACUACAGUUGCCGCAAUCGUCCUGCAAAGCCAAAAUCACAGCAGCCCUCAGUCCAUGAACCAGAAGCGAAACGGGAUCCCAGGAAGUGACGCUCGUCUAAGUCACACACGCAUGUUGUUUAUAUACACGUAAUCCAACCACCUCUAUCGGCCCCAACCAAUGAAUAAACUAAUGCCUAAUGAUGAACUUACUGAUCUCUACCUGCCACAUUAGCAUAGUUACUAUGUGGCAAAUGCAACCAUUUAUCUUUGUGUAUUAGUAAACUGCUUUGCUAUCAUUCACUGUUCAUAUUAACAUCCUCUUUAACCCUUGAUCACUGUACAAUCAAAUUUGUCCAGAAACACUAUAGCUGUUUUAAAGAAAU